UUUCAUCCUCUGAUUCGUGCUGCUGUUGUUCGCGGUUGGUGGUUCUUUCUUCGCGCCACCUUGCCGUCGUCAGUGCUACUGUGUGCUUGGUGCUGCCGCCUAUCUAAGGUGAUCUUGUUGGUGAUUUUGUUGUUAUUAUUGUUGCUGCGUUGUUGCCGAAGCUUCGAAAAUCUCCCUCGACCUUUCUGUUUCUCGGUUCUUCUCUGUCUUCGCUGCUCCUAAUAGAGCAGAGUUUUCCUAAAUGUUUCAGGUUGAAGCCGAAAGUUAACCUUUGCAAGUUGAAGCUGAUACAAGCUGGAGUAGUAUUAUAGUUGCUAUCGAAGUGAGGACGCUUGACUUUGUAAUAGUUAGUUGUUUAUAAUCUAUAGUUAUUUCUACA